UACGGAGGGUGCAAGCGUUAUCCGGAUUUACUGGGGUUAAAGGGUGUGUAGGCGGACUUUUAAGUCCGUGGUGAAAUCUCCGGGCUCAACCCGGAAACUGCCAUGGAUACUAUUGGUCUUGAAUAUUGUUGAGGUGGGCGGAACGGGUCAUGUAGCGGUGAAAUGCAUAGAUAUGACCCGGAACACCGAUUGCGAAGGCAGCCCACUAAGCAAUGAUUGACGCUGAGGCACGAAAGCGUGGGGAUCAAACAGG
rnacentral:rRNA from 1 species